rnacentral:misc_RNA from 1 species
UCCGAUUUGUCGCCGGCAGUCUCCCAUGAGUCCCCGCCAUUACGCGCUGGCAACAUGGGACAGGGGUUGCGCUCGUUGCGGCACUUAAGCCAACACCUCACGGCACGAGCUGACGACAGCCAUGCAGCACCUGUGCUGGCCCCUUACGGAGCCCUGCUUUCACAGGGUUUAACCAGCAUGUCAAGCCCAGGUAAGGUUCUUCGCGUUGCAUCGAAUUAAGCCACAUGCUCCGCCGCUUGUGCAGACCCCCGCCAAUUCCUUUGAGUUUUAAUCUUGCGACCGUACUCCCCAGGCGGGAUGCUUAAUGCGUUAGCUGCGCCACUGACAGGCAAGCCUGCCAACGGCUAGCAUCCAUCGUUUACGGCGUGGACUAC